rnacentral:rRNA from 1 species
GACAGAGGGUGCAAACGUUGUUCGGAUUUACUGGGCGUAAAGCGCGUGUAGGCGGCUUUGCAAGUCGGAUGUGAAAUCCCACGGCUCAACCGUGGAAGUGCAUCCGAAACUGCUUCGCUCGAGUCUCGGAGAGGAAGGUGGAAUGCUUGGUGUAGAGGUGAAAUUCGUAGAUAUCAAGCAGAACACCUGCGGCGAAGGCGGCCUUCUGGACGAUGACUGACGCUGAGACACGAAAGCGUGGGGAGCAAACAGG